rnacentral:rRNA from 1 species
GAUGAACGCUGACAGCAUGCUUAACACAUGCAAGUCUUUGGCGAAUCUGUGCUUGCCCCGGCUAGCCAAGGCGGACGGGUGAGUAACGCGUAAAGAACUUGCCCUGCAGACAGGGAUAACAGACGGAAACGACUGAUAACACCUGAUACAGUUGCCGGCACGCAUGUGCCUGGCAAUGAAAAGAGAUGCUGCAGGAGAGCUUUGCGUCCUAUUAGCUUGUUGGUGAGGUGACGGCUCACCAAGGCGAUGAUAGGUAGCCGGCCUGAGAGGGUGAACGGCCACAAGGGGACUGAGAUACGGCCCUUACUCCUACGGGAGGCAGCAGUGGGGAAUAUUGGACAAUGGGGGCAACCCUGAGCAGCAAUUCUGUGUGCACGAAGAAGGUUUUCGGAGUGUAAAGUGCUUUCAGCAGGGAAGAAGAAAGUGACGGUACCUGCAGAAGAAGCGACGGCUAAAUACGUG